CCGCAUAAUCCCUGAGGGGGAAAGAUUUAUCGCUUUAAGAUUGGCCCGCGGAAGAUUAGGUAGUUGGUGGGGUAAAGGCCUACCAAGCCGACGAUCUAUAGCUGGUCUGAGAGGACGAACAGCCACAUUGGAACUGAGACACGGUCCAGACUCCUACGGGAGGCAGCAGUGAGGAAUAUUGGGCAAUGGAGGAAACUCUGACCCAGCCAUGCCGCGUGAGUGAAGAAGGUUUUCGAAUUGUAAAGCUCUUUCGGAUGGGACGAUGAUGACGGUACCAUCUAAAGAAGCCCCGGCAAACUUCGUGCCAGCAGCCGCGGUAAUACGAAGGGGGCAAGCGUUGUUCGGAAUUACUGGGCGUAAAGGGUGUGUAGGCGGAUUUGUAAGAUAGUGGUGAAAUACCUGAGCUCAACUUAGGAAUUGCCAUUAUAACUAUAGAUCUGGAGUGACAGAGAGGAUAUUGGAAUACCCAGUGUAGAGGUGAAAUUCGUAGAUAUUGGGUAGAACACCAGUGGCGAAGGCGAGUAUCUGGCUGUCAACUGACGCUGAGGCACGAAAGCA
rnacentral:rRNA from 1 species